rnacentral:rRNA from 1 species
UGCGUAGGCGGCCCUGUGUGUCAGAGGUGAAAUCCCACGGCUCAACCGUGGAAUUGCCUUUGAAACUGCAGGGCUUGAGUCCGAGAGGGGAAGGUGGAAUUCCUGGUGUAACGGUGAAAUGUGCAGAUAUCAGGAAGAACCACCCGUGGCGAAGGCGGCCUUCUGGCUCGGAACUGACGCUGAGGCACGAAAGCUAGGGUAUCGAACG